rnacentral:rRNA from 1 species
GAUGAACGCUGACAGAAUGCUUAACACAUGCAAGUCAACUUGAACUUCGGUUUGGGUGGCGGACGGGUGAGUCACGCGUAAAGAACUUGCCUCAAAGUUAGGGACAACAUUUGGAAACGAAUGCUAAUACCUGAUAUUAUGAUUUUAGGGCAUCCUAGAAUUAUGAAAGCUAUAUGCGCUGUGAGAGAGCUUUGCGUCCCAUUAGCUAGUUGGAGAGGUAACGGCUCACCAAGGCGAUGAUGGGUAGCCGGCCUGAGAGGGUGAACGGCCACAAGGGGACUGAGACACGGCCCUUACUCCUACGGGAGGCAGCAGUGGGGAAUAUUGGACAAUGGACCAAGAGUCUGAUCCAGCAAUUCUGUGUGCACGAUGAAGUUUUUCGGAAUGUAAAGUGCUUUCAGUUGGGAAGAAAAAAAUGACGGUACCAACAGAAGAAGUGACGGCUAAAUACGUG